GGCUGGUCUGCAGGUAGUUAUUUAAUGGGUUGUUCACUUUUACAGAUUGAACUCUACUUUUCCCCUUCUCACGACUACACUUGACUAGUUUUAU
ensembl:misc_RNA Y_RNA Y RNA